UCCCCUCCUCACCCGACAAAAAAAGAUAUGUUGAAGUCUUAACCCUCAGUAUCUCAAAAUGUGACCUUCUUUAAAAAUAGGGUCCUUGCAGGUGUAAUUAACUGCGUUAAGAUGAAGUCAUACCAGAGAAGGAUUGGCCCUUAAUGCAAUAUGACCGGUGCCCUUAUAAAAGGUGGGAAAUUUGUGCAAGGACACACUGGGAGAAAGCCACGUGAUGAUGGACGUAGAGACUGGAGUCAUGCUGUCAGAAGCCGAGGAACAUCUGGGGCCACCAGAAGCUGGAAGAUGCAAGGAAGGAUCCUUCCCUCUGCUUCAGAGAAGGCACAGCCCUGCCAACACAUUGACUGCAGACUUCUGGCCUCCAGAACUGGAUCAACGAAUGGGGAUGAAAAUGCUAUCAAUCUGAGCUCCCAAUGCUUCAAGGAGACACCUAAAGAAGAGGAGAGUUAAGUUUUUCUGUCCCACUGCCUCCCAGAGGUGGUAGUUGACCAACCCUGCAGAACACAGAUGGGAAAGAUGUCCCAUACUCUUACCCUCUAAAUGGAAGAUUGGCAAAGAAUAUCGAGAGAGGGAAAAGAAGUGGAUACAUACGAGCUAUGGGUGUAAAGGUCCUGGCUGGAACUUUUCGCCAAAAGGAUGGUGAAGAGGUAGCUGCAAGCAGGAUUCUUUGGGGGAAGUCAAUCCAAAGUGGGUUGGAAGAACGAGGCCCGCAACAAGCAGGUCUGAAAGUCGCUUCUCCUCUCCACACCUCUGAAUCCACAUCAGGAAAAUAAGAAGAUUGGAGCCCACCUUCUCAUGGCCCUUCCAGCCCCAACAAGUGUUUCUUUGGACACACCAUGGUGAACCGAAAAGCUGAUAAAAUGCUUGACCGAUGGCAUCCAACUUCACAGAAAACUGACAAGUUUUACAAGUUUAACAGGUUCUGUUUUAAAUGGCUUCUACAAGAUGGAGGUGGAGGAGAAUGUUGGCCUGAUGAGAAGAUGAACUUUUUCUCAAAAGCUCAUGCUCAGAAA